rnacentral:lncRNA from 1 species
CCCCGCCUCCACCUUCACCGCCGCCGCCGGAGUCAUACCCACCUCCACCUUCGCCACCGCCGCCGGCGUCGUACCCGCCGCCUCCUUCACCACCUCCACCGGCGUCGUACCCGCCUCCACCUUCGCCGCCACCACCGGCGUCAUCCCCGCCUCCACCUUCACCGCCGCCACCGGCGCGAUCCCCGCCGCCUCCUCCCCCUUCUCCUCCACCGCCGCCACCGGCGUCCAACUGGACUCCCGUGGCGAACGUGAACGACCCGGCGAUCCAGCAGGUGGCGCAGUUCGCCGUGCGCAUCUACGCGCUCAGCACCAAGGAGCUCAAGAUGCAGCUGCUGAGCGUCAUCAGCGGCGAGACCCAGCCGUGCGACGGCGGGUACAACUACCGGCUGGUCAUCACAGUGACCGGCGGCAAGAAGACGCAGUACGACGCCUUCGUCUGGGGCAUCCUGGGGACCAUGUCGUGGAAGCUCUGGUCAUUCACGCCCCAUGUGUAAAAUUAAACGAGCCCCAUGGCACGCAUGCUGACUUCAUGCACGCAUGCACACUGGCAAGGAGAAACCAUGCAUACCAGCAUAACGUCUAGUUUGAUCAUUGCUUAGUUUCAGAGAAUCCUUUUUUUCAUCGUUAUUUUGGUUAGUUUGUAGUAGAAGAGUUUUCUUAUACUUUUGCUGUUCAGAAUGCAUCAUGCAUAUUAUUGUACUUCUCUCCUAUCUUUUCCUCUAGCAAUAAAAUCACAUAUUUUGUGUAUUAUCCGGCUCAAAAUCUCCUACUGUCUUGUAGAGAUGUUUAAUUACAUGCAUUACUUUUUUAAGAGAGAAAUACGUGCACCACUCCAGGUAUCAUUUACUCACUCC